CGCUGGCGGCAUGCCUAACACAUGCAAGUCGAACGAGACCUUCGGGUCUAGUGGCGCACGGGUGCGUAACGCGUGGGAACCUGCCUUUAGGUUCGGAAUAACUCAGAGAAAUUUGAGCUAAUACCGGAUAAUGUCUUCGGACCAAAGAUUUAUCGCCUUUAGAUGGGCCCGCGUUGGAUUAGCUAGUUGGUGGGGUAAAGGCCUACCAAGGCGACGAUCCAUAGCUGGUCUGAGAGGAUGAUCAGCCACACUGGGACUGAGACACGGCCCAGACUCCUACGGGAGGCAGCAGUGGGGAAUAUUGGAUAAUGGGCGAAAGCCUGAUCCAGCAAUGCCGCGUGAGUGAUGAAGGCCUUAGGGUUGUAAAGCUCUUUACCCGAGAUGAUAAUGACAGUAUCGGGAGAAUAAGCUCCGGCUAACUCCGUG
rnacentral:rRNA from 1 species